rnacentral:rRNA from 1 species
GUGCCAGACUCCUACGGGAGGCAGCAGUGGGGAAUAUUGCACAAUGGGCGAAAGCCUGAUGCAGCAACGCCGCGUGAAGGAAGACGGUUUUCGGAUUGUAAACUUCUGUUCUUAGUGAAGAAUAAUGACGGUAACUAAGGAGCAAGCCCCGGCUAACUACGUGCCAGCAGCCGCGGUAAUACGUAGGGGGCAAGCGUUAUCCGGAUUUACUGGGUGUAAAGGGAGCGUAGACGGCUAAUCAAGUCAGAAGUGAAAACCCAGGGCUCAACCUUGGGACUGCUUUUGAAACUGAGUAGCUAGAGUGCAGGAGAGGUAAGCGGAAUUCCUAGUGUAGCGGUGAAAUGCGUAGAUAUUAGGAGGAACACCAGUGGCGAAGGCGGCUUACUGGACUGUAACUGACGUUGAGGCUCGAAAGCGUGGGGAGCAAACAGGAUUAGAUACCCGAGUA